rnacentral:misc_RNA from 1 species
AACCAUUCUCACCUGCGGCUAGACCUGCGGAAGGAUCAUUAAAAAGAGUGUGUACCCCUCUGUAAAAUGAGUGGGUUACCUCCCGUCCUUUGUUGACCUCUUAGGAGGUUAUUUUGAACUUUCUGCUUCGGUGGGGUUAAACCUACCGGAACACCCUCAAAUUCUUAUCAUUUAAAAAUUGUUCAGUCUGAUUUUUGUUAAUAAGAACAAAAAACUUUUAACAAUGGAUCUCAGAUCGGA